rnacentral:rRNA from 1 species
CAUGCAUGUCUAAGUAUAAGUAUUAUACAGCGAAACUGCGAAUGGCUCAUUAAAACAGUUAUGGUUUAUUUGAUAAUCGAAUUUUACAUGGAUAACCGUGGUAAUUCUAGAGCUAAUACAUGCUGGUGUGCCUGACUUUUCGGAAGGGCGGUAUUUAUUAGAUAACGAACCAAUAUUCCUCUGGUCUAUUGUGGUGAAUCAUAAUAACUGAUCGAAUCGCAAAGCCUUUGGCUGCGAUAUGUCAUUCAAGUUUCUGCCCCAUCAGCUUUCGAUGGUAGUGUAUUGGACUACCAUGGCUUUUACGGGUAACGGAGAAUUAGGGUUCGAUUCCGGAGAGGGAGCCUGAGAAACGGCUACCACAUCUAAGGAAGGCAGCAGGCGCGUAAAUUACCCAAUCCUGACUCAGGGAGGUAGUGACAAGAAAUAACGGACCGGCCUUUUAGGCUCGGGAUUGCAAUGAGCCGAAUUUACACCCCUUAGCGAGGACCCAUUGGAGGGCAAGUCUGGUGCCAGCAGCCGCGGUAAUUCCAGCUCCAAUAGCGUAUAUUAAAGUUGUUGCAGUUAAAAAGCUCGUAGUUGGAUUUCUGGGGAGGUGCCAAUGUCACCUUAGUGUUGCGCAGCGGCGCCUCUCCAUCCUUCUGUUAACGUCGUUGGACCUUAAUCAGUCUGCGGCGGGCUCAGAUAUUUUACCUUGAGAAAAUUAGAGUGUUUCAGGCAGGCCAGACCGGAAUACAUUAGCAUGGAAUAAUGGAAUAGGACUUUAGUCUCUUUGUUGGUUUGGGGGACUGCAGUAAUGAUUA